AUACGUAGGUGGCAAGCGUUGUCCGGAAUUAUUGGGCGUAAAGCGCAUGUAGGCGGUGCCUUAAGUCUGUCGUGAAACUGCGGGGCCUAACCCCGUAUGGCGAUGGAAACUGGGGUACUUGAGUGCAGGAGAGGAAAGGGGAACUCCCAGUGUAGCGGGGAAAUGCGUAGAUAUUGGGAAGAACACCGGUGGCGAAGGCGCCUUUCUGGACUGUGUCUGACGCUGAGAUGCGAAAGCCAGGGUAGCGAACGGGAUUAGAUACCCCGGUAGUCCUGGCCGUAAACGAUGGGUACUAGGUGUGGGAGGUAUCGACCCCUUCCGUGCCGGAGUUAACGCAAUAAGUACCCCGCCUGGGGAGUACGGCCGCAAGGCUUAAACUCAAAGGAAUUGACGGGG
rnacentral:rRNA from 1 species